rnacentral:rRNA from 1 species
AAGGUCAGGCUGAACGACCUUACCCGAUUAGCUGAGAGGUGGUGCAUGGCCGUCGUCAGUUCGUACUGUGAAGCAUCCUGUUAAGUCAGGCAACGAGCGAGACCCACGUCCACAGUUGCCAGCAUACCCUCCGGGGUGAUGGGUACACUGUGGAGACCGCCGCUGCUAAAGCGGAGGAAGGAGUGGGCAACGGUAGGUCAGUAUGCCCCGAAUCUCCCGGGCUACACGCGGGCUACAAUGGUUGGUACAAUGGGCAUCUACCCCGAAAGGGGAAGGAAAUCUCUUAAAGCCAAUCGUAGUUCGGAUUGAGGGCUGCAACUCGCCCUCAUGAAGCUGGAAUCCGUAGUAAUCGCGUUUCAACAGAACGCGGUGAAUACGUCCCUGCUCCUU